UACGAAGGGGGCUAGCGUUGCUCGGAAUUACUGGCGUAAAGGGAGCGUAGGCGGAUAGUUUAGUCAGAGGUGAAAGCCCAGGGCUCAACCUUGGAACUUGCCUUUGAUACUGGCUAUCUUGAGUACGGAAGAGGUAUGUGGAACUCCGAGUGUAGAGGUGAAAUUCGUAGAUAUUCGGAAGAACACCAGUGGCGAAGGCGACAUACUGGUCCGUUACUGACGCCUGAGGCUCGAAAGCGUGGGGAGCAA
rnacentral:rRNA from 1 species